AUGAGGGCCCCCACUCAGCUCCUGGGGUUGCUGCUGCUCUGGCUUACAGGUACCAGAUGUGACAUCCAGUUGACCCAGUCUCCAGCCUCACUGUCUGCAUCUUUGGGAGAAAGUGUCACCAUCACAUGCCAGGCAAAUCAGGACAUUAAUCGUUGGUUAGCAUGGUGUCAACAAAAACCUGGGAAUCCUCCUAAGCUCCUGAUCCAUAGUGCAACCACUUUGGCAGAUGGGAUCCCAUCGAGGUUCAGUGGCAGUAGAUCUGGCACACAGUUUUCUCUCAAGAUCAGCAGCCUGCAGCCUGAAGAUGUGGCAAGUUAUUACUGUCAAAAUCAUAACAAUUUCCCUCCCACAGUGAUUCAAAUCAUGACAAAAACCAUUCAAGGAAGGAGAAGUGAGAGCGUAGGCUGCCACAAAUGCUCCUUCUGGUUUCUCCAACUGCUAAGAGUGUUUCUCUUUUCUCUUUGCCAAGAUUAA